rnacentral:misc_RNA from 1 species
GAUGAAGAACGCAGCGAAAUGCGAUAAGUAGUGUGAAUUGCAGAAUUCAGUGAAUCAUCGAAUCUUUGAACGCACAUUGCGCCCAUUAGUAUUCUAGUGGGCAUGCCUGUUCGAGCGUCAUUAAGUCCACUUAAGCCCUGCUUAGUGUUGGGAGACUGCUCCAGCGGUGCUACCCUGUAGCUACCCUGCAGCUCCUCAAAGACAGCGGCGGAGUUGUGGUAUCCUCUGAGCUUAGUAACUUGUUCUAGCUUUCGAGUACACCACUUCCCCUGCCGUAAAACCCUUAAUUUUUAAUGGUUGACCUCGGAUCAGGUAGGAAUACCCGCUGAACUUAAGCAUAUCAAUAAGCGGAGGA